UUUUUAACUUCUGUUUGUUUGGCUCCAAGGAAAAUGAAUGAAAAGAAAAGAAUUUUUUUUUAAGUUUUAUCAGUUACUUUGGUUCUUGAAAGAUGAAUGAGUGAACUGGAGCACAUACAUGUAGCUUAAAAAUGCUGUGACUUCAAUUUUCCUUUUGGUCUUAUCUGCACGGGGCUCUAUUUUCUGCUUGCUUCCUGAGAAAGUAAAGUUGAUCG
rnacentral:misc_RNA from 1 species